AGUGUGUUGACCGCGAAAAUUAAGCUGUAGCACAAUAAAGAGUGGAAAAAUGGUACCUUAAAAAUGCUUCUCGCCCAAGCCAUGUGUAUCACUGAUUGAGAUUCAUUCUUGUUUAGAGGCUGACCUAUCAAGCUAGGAUGAAGGCUAUCCACCUCUCUCUAUGUUGAGUCUAAUUAUGAGAUCAUUCAAGAUAUCAGUUUUCAAGAUUUUAAUUCAUCUCUCUCCAUUACAUCAAGGUCACUGCCAAGGUAUGCUGAUCUGCUGUCCGACUGCAAGUGCUCCUCCAACUGCACCUAUCUGAAGUAGAGCUGUCCAAGUGACCUAGCCUGAUUGCCAUCGACUUGAAAGGCUCUGCGAGACUUUAGUCUGACCAAGAGCCUGUGCUAACACGGUUUCUCCCAGCGCUGGUUGACCCGCCUCAUUUAAGUGCCUCGAUUUGCUACUGGUCAAUGUCAGAAAGCGGUUUGCCGAGUUUAAACCAAUAACAACACUCUUUCCUCUGCCUUGAACAUGCCUCUACCCAGAGCCGUUGGAGCUGCUCAAAGUUGAUUGGUUCUCGACCAAAGGGGGCAGUUCCGCAGAUUUCGGGAAUUCAGAAAUCCUUCCCGAUUAGCAGUUGACCAGACCAGCGACAGCGACGCCGAAGGUGUUACAUCACUGGGAGGGUGUGCCAGGCUACCAGUGACCACAAGUUAAAGAUUUUUGCCCACCGACAUCAAGAAGUAGUCUGAGAUGCACCCAUGAUAGCUGAAUUAAGACGAGGUGGCCAGCAUUUUCAAUGUGCGUGAGGUAAGUGAAGCAAAAUCCUUUCUGUUUUACAUAAUCUACAAUUAAAAAUUGAUGACAUGACUUUUUUUUUUUUUUCCCCAUAGCUGUGUGCGGAAUUCAAGGAAUCACAGGACGGAUGCUCCAUCUGCAAACCUGAUGAAGGCAUUUAGUACCUAUGACUGAGGAUUCUGGCAUUGAUGUCUGCCACGAAUGUGCUCUCCUCUCAAGGGACUGUGCCUAUAUGAAUGAAGACCCUUAGAGCGUCGUGAAGGAAUACAUGCCAGGUGUUCGUAGUCACACGGCCACGGCAGAGACCAUAUAUGGCAUC